GAUGAACGCUAGCGAUAGGCUUAACACAUGCAAGUCGAGGGGCAGCGCGAGGUAGCAAUACUUUGGCGGCGACCGGCGCACGGGUGCGUAACACGUAUGUAACUUACCUCUUACAACCGGAUAACACGGUGAAAGUCGUGCUAAUAUGGUAUAGUUUCACAUUUUUGCAUGAGAAGGUGAAUAAAGAUUUAUCGGUAAGAGAUAGACAUGCGGUCCAUUAGAUAGUUGGUGAGGUAACGGCUCACCAAGUCGACGAUGGAUAGGGGGACUGAGAGGUUGACCCCCCACACUGGUACUGAGACACGGACCAGACUCCUACGGGAGGCAGCAGUGAGGAAUAUUGGUCAAUGGGCGAGAGCCUGAACCAGCCAAGUCGCGUGAAGGAAGACGGUUCAUAAGGAUUGUAAACUUCUUUUGUAGAGGGGUAAAGGUGCGUACGUGUACGCAUUUGCAAGUACUCUACGAAUAAGUAUCGGCUAACUCCGUGCCAGCAGCCGCGGUAAUACGGGGGAUACGAGCGUUAUCCGGAAUUAUUGGGUUUAAAGGGUGCGUAGGUGGCUAUUUAAGUCAGGGGUGAAAAGCAUGAGCUCAACUCAUGUCUUGCCUUUGAAACUGGACAGCUAGAGAAGAGACGAGGUAUGUGGAAUGUGUGGUGUAGCGGUGAAAUGCAUAGAUAUCACACAGAACUCCGAUUGCGCAGGCAGCGUACCAGACUUAUUCUGACACUGAAGCACGAAAGCGUGGGUAUCAAACAGGAUUAGAUACCCUGGUAGUCCACGCAGUAAACGAUGAAUACUAGUUUUUUGCGAUAUACGGUAAGAGACUAAGCGAAAGCGAUAAGUAUUCCACCUGGGGAGUACGCCGGCAACGGUGAAACUCAAAGGAAUUGACGGGGGCCCGCACAAGCGGAGGAACAUGUGGUUUAAUUCGAUGAUACGCGAGGAACCUUACCCGGGAUUGAAAUGUAGGAGUUAGAUGAUGAGAGUCAUUGUCCCUUCGGGGCUCCUAUGUAGGUGCUGCAUGGUUGUCGUCAGCUCGUGCCGUGAGGUGUUUGCUUAAGUGCAAUAACGAGCGCAACCCACGUUGAUAGUUACUAACAGGUUAAGCUGAGGACUCUAUCGAGACAGCCGUCGUAAGGCGAGAGGAAGGUGUGGAUGACGUCAAAUCAGCACGGCCCUUACAUCCGGGGCGACACACGUGUUACAAUGGUGAGGACAGCAGGAAGCGACAUGGUGACAUGAAGCAGAUCCCAAAACCUCACCCCAGUUCGGAUCGGAGUCUGCAACUCGACUCCGUGAAGCCGGAUUCGCUAGUAAUCGCGCAUCAGCCAUGGCGCGGUGAAUACGUUCCCGGGCCU
rnacentral:rRNA from 1 species